rnacentral:rRNA from 1 species
AGGUCCCGCCUGCCCAGUGAAAUUUUUUAAACGGCCGCGGUAUUUUAACCGUGCGAAGGUAGCGCAAUCACUUGUCUUUUAAAUAAAGACCUGUAUGAAAGGUAGAACGAGGGCUUAACUGUCUCCCUUCUCAAGUCAAUGAAAUUGAUCUAUCCGUGCAGAAGCGGGUAUUAAAAUACAAGACGAGAAGACCCUUUGGAGCUUAAGACACCAGGUCACCUACGUCAAUGCAACACAAACUAAGUAGAAACAUGACCCAAGUCUUCAGUUGGGGCGACUAUGGGAAAAAAUACAACUCCCAUGAAGACUGGGCUUCAUGGCCUAAACCUAAGAAAGACACUUCUAAGACACAGUACAUCUGACUUCCACGAUCCGGCUACAGCCGAUUAACGAAACAAGUUACCCUAGGGAUAACAGCGCAAUCCUCUUUCAGAGUUCAUAUCGACAAGAGGGUUUACGACCUCGAUGUUGGAUCAGGACAUCCUAAUGGUGCAGCCGCUAUUAAGGGUUCGUUUGUUCAACGAUUAAAGUCCUACGUG